GACAGAGGAUGCAAGCGUUAUCCGGAAUGAUUGGGCGUAAAGCGUCUGUAGGUGGCUUUUUAAGUCUGCCGUCAAAUCCCAGGGCUUAACCCUGGACAGGCGGUGGAAACUACCAAGCUGGAGUACGGUAGGGGCAGAGGGAAUUUCCGGUGGAGCGGUGAAAUGCGUAGAGAUCGGAAGAACACCAACGGCGAAGCACUCUGCUGGGCCGACACUGACACUGAGAGACGAAAGCUAGGGGAGCGAAUGGG
rnacentral:rRNA from 1 species